GUGCCAGCCGCCGCGGUAAUACGGAGGGUGCAAGCGUUAUUCGGAAUUACUGGGUUUAAAGGGUGCGUAGGCGGUUAUAUAAGUUGUCAGUGAAAGGCUACGGCUCAACUGUAGUAGUGCUGGCGAUACUGUAUAACUAAGAACAUGGGAGGGGUACCUGGAAUGUGUGGUGUAGCGGUGAAAUGCAUAGAUAUCACACAGAACACCGGAGGCGAAGGCGGGGUACUAGACCAUAGUUGACGCUGAGGCACGAAAGCGUGGGGAGCAAACAGGAUUAGAUACCCUGGUAGUCCACGCCCUAAACGAUGAUCACUAGAUAUUGGCGACAUACAGUCAGUGUCCAAGCGAAAGUGAUAAGUGAUCCACCUGGGGAAUACGGCCGCAAGGUUAAAACUCAAAUAAAUUGACGG
rnacentral:rRNA from 1 species